CUAAUUCGACCUUCAAAUUUUCAGGCUAAUGAUGAUGAAGUAUCUGUAUGGGCGAUAACUUUGGCUGGUGAUGCGAUUUAUCGAACUGGAGUUACCGCCACAACGCCCGCAGGUGUUCAUUGGGAGCAUGUAAACAAUCCACAAUCACUUAUAGCUAUUAGCACUUGCAAUAAUAUAGUUUGGGUAGUGGGACGAAAAGGCGAACUAUAUUACAGAGAAGAUAUUACGAAAGAAAAUCCGUCAGGUAGUAAUUGGAGAUUGAUCGAAACUCCGAAAUGUAACUACCCUUAUGGUCACAAGUCCAGUGCUGGCGCUAAGGCUUUGUCAUUGACCACUGCUGCAGCUUGGGUUUUACUCUCGAAUGGCACUAUUGCAGUAAGGACGGAGGUAUCCAAGGAGAAACAAGAAGGAAAGGAAUGGAAGUAUUUAUCAGAAUGUGAAACGACAUUCAAACACGUAUCAGCUACAAACAACGAAGUGUGGUCAGUAACUUCAGACGGCACAUUGCAGCGACGACUUGGAAUAACUGCUGAGAAUCCUAUCGGCUCUGCCUGGCAAACUGUGCUGUCUGGCAGCCUGGUUCAUGUGUCGGCAAGAGGGGAUUGUUUACAUUAAAACCAUCUUCGAAUACUUAGUACCAUUCCCAGAUCUCCCAGUUGUAUGUAUGAUAAUAUAUAUUAUGUAGAACACACAAAAUCGCUGAUUCAUUCUGCAUCGUAUUUCUCAUACUCCAUAUUACAUUGCUGAGGCCAUCUUUCUAUAUGACAUGGCUUGCCACUGAAAGAGUAUUAUAAAAUUAGUUUAGAUGGCGUUUACUAUGA